rnacentral:rRNA from 1 species
UACAGAGGGGGCAAGCGUUGUUCGGAAUUACUGGGCGUAAAGGGCGCGUAGGCGGCCUGUUAAGUCGAACGUGAAAUCCCCGGGCUCAACCCGGGAACUGCGUCCGAUACUGGCAGGCUUGAAUUCGGGAGAGGGAUGUGGAAUUCCAGGUGUAGCGGUGAAAUGCGUAGAUAUCAGGAGGAACACCGGUGGCGAAGGCGGUUCUCUGGGCAUUACCUGACGCUGAGGAGCGAAAGCAUGGGGAGCGAACAGG